GGUUCGAUGGUGUAGUUGGUUAUCACGUUCGCCUCACAGGCUUCUGCUGGUGUGCGCGAGAGGUCUCCGGUUCGAGCCCGGGUCGAAUCA